GACCAGAAAAUCUUGCCCUAGGGAAAUGAGCCCAGAAUAAUCUAUCAGAUAACAGGAGGGUAUCAGGGCAGUCAGGAUGAGGCUUCACCAUUGAGGCAGUGGCUCCCUGAGGCUUGAAGAAGAGAAGCCACCUGCCAAGAUUUGAAAUAGCUCGGCUGGAAUUCAUCACCUCCAGUAGCUUCGUUUGUAUCGAUGCUUCCUAAGGUCCCUUUGACAUCACACUCCACAAUUUUGGCUUAAGCCCACAGAUGGUGCCUCUCAAAGUGAAAUCUUCAGACUAACAGCAUCAAAAGCACUUUGUUAGAUGGAGUAUUAUUCAGCCAUUAAAAAGAGUGAAAUAAAGCCAUUUGCAGAAACAUGAAUGGACCUACUGACCAUCAUACUGAAUGAAAAAAGUCAGAGAAAGGAGGAGAAAUGUUGUAUGACAUCCCUUAUAUGUGGAAUCUAAAAAUAAAUGAUACAAAUGAACUUGCAGAACAGACUCAUAGACUUUGAAAACAAGCUUAUAGUU